rnacentral:rRNA from 1 species
UACGAAGGGGGCUAGCGUUGCUCGGAAUGACUGGGCGUAAAGGGCGCGUAGGCGGAAUGCUUUGUCGGGCGUGAAAUCCCCGGGCUCAACCCCGGGAACUGCGUCCGAUACUGGGAGGCUUGAGUAUGGGAGAGGGAUGUAGAAUUCCAGGUGUAGCGGUGAAAUGCGCAGAUAUCAGGAAGAACACCAAUGGCGAAAGCAGCUCUCUGGGACGGUACUGACGCUGAGACGCGAAAGCGUGGGGAGCGAACAGG